UACAGAGGGUGCAAGCGUUAUUCGGAAUUAUUGGGCGUAAAGGGCGCGUAGGCGGCUUGGCAAGUGGAUGGUGAAAUCCCUCGGCUUAACCGAGGAACGGCCGUCCAAACUGCUUCGCUUGAGACCGGGAGAGGUGAGUGGAAUUCCCAGUGUAGCGGUGAAAUGCGUAGAUAUUGGGAGGAACACCAGUGGCGAAGGCGGCUCACUGGACCGGUACUGACGCUGAAGCGCGAAAGCGUGGGGAGCAAACGGG
rnacentral:rRNA from 1 species